rnacentral:piRNA from 1 species
UAAGAGUUGAUGUGCUCAUGGUGUCUCUUC